CAAUAGCGUAUAUUAAAGUUGUUGCAGUUAAAAAGCUCGUAGUUGAAUUUUUGCUUGCCGCCGAUGUCGGAACUUCCGUACGUUCGGCGGCGUGCAUCCUUGGGUGGAACCUGUGUGGCAUUAGGUUGUCGUGCAGGGGAUGCUCAUCGUUUACUGUGAAAAAAUUAGAGUGUUCAAAGCAGGCUUACGCCGUUGAAUAUAUUAGCAUGGAAUAAUAAGAUAGGACCUUGGUACUAUUUUGUUGGUUUGCGCACCGAGGUAAUGAUUAACAGGGACAGUUGGGGGUAUUCGUAUUCCAUUGUCAGAGGUGAAAUUCUUGGAUUUACGCAAGACAAACAGCUGCGAAAGCGUCUGCCAAGGAUGUUUUCAUUAA
rnacentral:rRNA from 1 species